rnacentral:piRNA from 1 species
GUGAGUCUUUCUGGCCUGUGCCUG